rnacentral:rRNA from 1 species
UACAGAGGGUGCAAGCGUUAAUCGGAAUUACUGGGCGUAAAGCGUGCGUAGACGGUAGCGUAAGUCGGGUGUGAAAGCCCCGGGCUCAACCUGGGAAUUGCAUUCGAGACUGCUCUGCUAGGGUGCGGAAGAGGGGAGCGGAAUUUCCGGUGUAGCGGUGAAAUGCGUAGAUAUCGGAAGGAACACCAGUGGCGAAAGCGGCUCCCUGGUCCAGCACCGACGUUCAGGCACGAAAGCGUGGGGAGCAAACAG